rnacentral:lncRNA from 1 species
UUUGGUUUUUGAGUUAUAAGCCAAAAACUGCAUUUUACCCAAAUGUUCUAUUUUUAGCCAUGGCGGCCAUCUUGGUUGAAUGGCCAGGUCACCGGAUACAUUUUUUAAACUAGAUACCCCAAAGAUGAUUUUGGCCAAGUUUGGAUUAAUUUGGCCCAGUAGUUUCAGAGGAGAAGAUUUUUGUAAAAGAUAACUAAGAUUUACGAAAAAUGGUUAAAAAUUGACUAUAAAGGGCAAUAACUCCUAAAGGGGUCAACUGACCAUUUCGGUCAUGUUGACUUACUUGUAAAUCUUACUUUGCUGAACAUUAUUGCUUUUUACAGUUUAUCUCUAUCUAUAAUAAUAUUCAAGAUAAUAACCAAAAACAGCAAAAUUUCCUUAAAAUUACC